AACGAACGCUGGCGGCAUGCCUAACACAUGCAAGUCGAACGAGACCUUCGGGUCUAGUGGCGCACGGGUGCGUAACGCGUGGGAACCUGCCCUUAGGUUCGGGAUAACUCCCCUAAAUGGGUGCUAAUACCGGAUAAUUUCUUCGGACCAAAGAUUUAUCGCCUUUGGAUGGGCCCGCGUUGGAUUAGCUAGUUGGUAGUGUAAAAGCCUACCAAGGCGACGAUCCAUAGCUGGUCUGAGAGGAUGAUCAGCCACACUGGGACUGAGACACGGCCCAGACUACUACGGGAGGCAGCAGUGGGGAAUAUUGGACAAUGGGCGAAAGCCUGAUCCAGCAAUGCCGCGUGAGUGAUGAAGGCCUUAGGGUUGUAAAGCUCUUUUACCCGGGAUGAUAAUGACAGUACCGGGAGAAUAAGCUCCGGCUAACUCCGUG
rnacentral:rRNA from 1 species